rnacentral:rRNA from 1 species
UACGAAGGGUGCAAGCGUUACUCGGAAUUACUGGGCGUAAAGCGUGCGUAGGUGGUUCGUUAAGUCUGAUGUGAAAGCCCUGGGCUCAACUGAGGAAGUGCGCCCGAAACUGCAGAGCUUGAGUGCCGGAGAGGGUGGCGGAAUUCCCCAAGUAGAGGUGAAAUUCGUAGAUAUGGGGAGGAACACCGGUGGCGAAGGCGGCUCACUGGACCGGUUCUGACGCUGAGGCGCGAAAGCGUGGGGAGCAAACGGG